rnacentral:rRNA from 1 species
ACCUCCCACCCGUGUUUAUUUUACCUUGUUGCUUCGGCGGGCCCGCCUUUACUGGCCGCCGGGGGGCUCACGCCCCCGGGCCCGCGCCCGCCGAAGACACCCUCGAACUCUGUCUGAAGAUUGAAGUCUGAGUGAAAAUAUAAAUUAUUUAAAACUUUCAACAACGGAUCUCUUGGUUCCGGCAUCGAUGAAGAACGCAGCGAAAUGCGAUACGUAAUGUGAAUUGCAAAUUCAGUGAAUCAUCGAGUCUUUGAACGCACAUUGCGCCCCCUGGUAUUCCGGGGGGCAUGCCUGUCCGAGCGUCAUUGCUGCCCUCAAGCCCGGCUUGUGUGUUGGGCCCCGUCCUCCGAUUUCCGGGGGACGGGCCCGAAAGGCAGCGGCGGCACCGCGUCCGGUCCUCGAGCGUAUGGGGCUUUGUCACCCGCUCCGUAGGCCCGGCCGGCGCUUGCCGAUCAACCCAAAUUUUUAUCCAGGUUGACCUCGGAUCAGGUAGGGAUACCCGCUGAACUUAAGCAUAUCAU